GGUUAAGCGACUAAGCGUACACGGUGGAUGCCCUGGCAGUCAGAGGCGAUGAAGGACGUGCUAAUCUGCGAAAAGCGUCGGUAAGGUGAUAUGAACCGUUACAGCCGGCGAUGUCCGAAUGGGGAAACCCAGUGCAAUUCGUUGCACUAUCGUUAACUGAAUACAUAGGUUAACGAGGCGAACCGGGGGAACUGAAACAUCUAAGUACCCCGAGGAAAAGAAAUCAACCGAGAUUCCCCCAGUAGCGGCGAGCGAACGGGGAGCAGCCCAGAGUCUGAAUCAGCUUGUGUGUUAGUGGAACGGUCUGGAAAGUCCGACGGUACAGGGUGAUAGUCCCGUACACCAAAAUGCACAGGUUGUGAACUCGAAGAGUAGGGCGGGACACGUGGUAUCCUGUCUGAAUAUGGGGGGACCAUCCUCCAAGGCUAAAUACUCCUGACUGACCGAUAGUGAACCAGUACCGUGAGGGAAAGGCGAAAAGAACCCCGGCGAGGGGAGUGAAAAAGAACCUGAAACCGUGUACGUACAAGCAGUGGGAGCACCUUCGGGUGUGACUGCGUACCUUUUGUAUAAUGGGUCAGCGACUUAUAUUCUGUAGCAAGGUUAACCGUAUAGGGGAGCCGCAGGGAAACCGAGUCUUAACUGGGCGUUAAGUUGCAGGGUAUAGACCCGAAACCCGGUGAUCUAGCCAUGGGCAGGUUGAAGGUUGGGUAACACUAACUGGAGGACCGAACCGACUAAUGUUGAAAAAUUAGCGGAUGACUUGUGGCUGGGGGUGAAAGGCCAAUCAAACCGGGAGAUAGCUGGUUCUCCCCGAAAGCUAUUUAGGUAGCGCCUCGUGAACUCAUCUUCGGGGGUAGAGCACUGUUUCGGCUAGGGGGUCAUCCCGACUUACCAACCCGAUGCAAACUACGAAUACCGAAGAAUGUUAUCACGGGAGACACACGGCGGGUGCUAACGUCCGUCGUGAAGAGGGAAACAACCCAGACCGCCAGCUAAGGUCCCAAAGUCAUGGUUAAGUGGGAAACGAUGUGGGAAGGCACAGACAGCCAGGAUGUUGGCUUAGAAGCAGCCAUCAUUUAAAGAAAGCGUAAUAGCUCACUGGUCGAGUCGGCCUGCGCGGAAGAUGUAACGGGGCUAAACCAUGCACCGAAGCUGCGGCAGCGACACUAUGUGUUGUUGGGUAGGGGAGCGUUCUGUAAGCCUGCGAAGGUGACCUGUGAGGGUUGCUGGAGGUAUCAGAAGUGCGAAUGCUGACAUAAGUAACGAUAAAGCGGGUGAAAAGCCCGCUCGCCGGAAGACCAAGGGUUCCUGUCCAACGUUAAUCGGGGCAGGGUGAGUCGACCCCUAAGGCGAGGCCGAAAGGCGUAGUCGAUGGGAAACAGGUUAAUAUUCCUGUACUUGGUGUUACUGCGAAGGGGGGACGGAGAAGGCUAUGUUAGCCGGGCGACGGUUGUCCCGGUUUAAGCAUGUAGGCUGGUUAUCCAGGCAAAUCCGGAUAAUCAAGGCUGAGGUGUGAUGACGAGGCACUACGGUGCUGAAGUAACAAAUGCCCUGCUUCCAGGAAAAGCCUCUAAGCAUCAGGUAACAUCAAAUCGUACCCCAAACCGACACAGGUGGUCAGGUAGAGAAUACCAAGGCGCUUGAGAGAACUCGGGUGAAGGAACUAGGCAAAAUGGUGCCGUAACUUCGGGAGAAGGCACGCUGGUGUGUAGGUGAAGCCCCUGCGGGUGGAGCUGAGACCAGUCGAAGAUACCAGCUGGCUGCAACUGUUUAUUAAAAACACAGCACUGUGCAAACACGAAAGUGGACGUAUACGGUGUGACGCCUGCCCGGUGCCGGAAGGUUAAUUGAUGGGGUUAUCCGUAAGGAGAAGCUCUUGAUCGAAGCCCCGGUAAACGGCGGCCGUAACUAUAACGGUCCUAAGGUAGCGAAAUUCCUUGUCGGGUAAGUUCCGACCUGCACGAAUGGCGUAAUGAUGGCCAGGCUGUCUCCACCCGAGACUCAGUGAAAUUGAACUCGCUGUGAAGAUGCAGUGUACCCGCGGCAAGACGGAAAGACCCCGUGAACCUUUACUAUAGCUUGACACUGAACAUUGAGCCUUGAUGUGUAGGAUAGGUGGGAGGCUUUGAAGCGUGGACGCCAGUCUGCGUGGAGCCAACCUUGAAAUACCACCCUUUAAUGUUUGAUGUUCUAACGUUGGCCCCUUACCGGGGUUGCGGACAGUGUCUGGUGGGUAGUUUGACUGGGGCGGUCUCCUCCCAAAGCGUAACGGAGGAGCACGAAGGUUAGCUAAUCCUGGUCGGACAUCAGGAGGUUAGUGCAAUGGCAUAAGCUAGCUUGACUGCGAGCGUGACGGCGCGAGCAGGUGCGAAAGCAGGUCAUAGUGAUCCGGUGGUUCUGAAUGGAAGGGCCAUCGCUCAACGGAUAAAAGGUACUCCGGGGAUAACAGGCUGAUACCGCCCAAGAGUUCAUAUCGACGGCGGUGUUUGGCACCUCGAUGUCGGCUCAUCACAUCCUGGGGCUGAAGUAGGUCCCAAGGGUAUGGCUGUUCGCCAUUUAAAGUGGUACGCGAGCUGGGUUUAGAACGUCGUGAGACAGUUCGGUCCCUAUCUGCCGUGGGCGCUGGAGAAUUGAGGGGGGCUGCUCCUAGUACGAGAGGACCGGAGUGGACGCAUCACUGGUGUUCGGGUUGUCAUGCCAAUGGCACUGCCCGGUAGCUAAAUGCGGAAGAGAUAAGUGCUGAAAGCAUCUAAGCACGAAACUUGCCCCGAGAUGAGUUCUCCCUGAGACUUUAAGUCUCCUGAAGGAACGUUAAAGACGAUGACGUUGAUAGGCCGGGUGUGUAAGCGCAGCGAUGCGUUGAGCUAACCGGUACUAAUGAACCGUGAGGCUUAACCUU
rnacentral:rRNA from 1 species